rnacentral:rRNA from 1 species
GUGUGUCGAUGAAGAGCGCAGCCAACUGUGUGAAUUAAUGCGAACUGCAUACUGCUUUGAACAUCGACAUCUUGAACGCAUAUUGCGGCCACGGGUUAGCCUGUGGCCACGCCUGUCCGAGGGUC